rnacentral:rRNA from 1 species
AACGAACGCUGGCGGCAUGCCUAACACAUGCAAGUCGAACGAGACCUUCGGGUCUAGUGGCGCACGGGUGCGUAACGCGUGGGAACCUGCCCUUAGGUUCGGAAUAACUCCCCGAAAGGGGUGCUAAUACCGGAUAAUGUCUUCGGACCAAAGAUUUAUCGCCUUUGGAUGGGCCCGCGUUGGAUUAGCUAGUUGGUAGGGUAAAAGCCUACCAAGGCGACGAUCCAUAGCUGGUCUGAGAGGAUGAUCAGCCACACUGGGACUGAGACACGGCCCAGACUCCUACGGGAGGCAGCAGUGGGGAAUAUGCGACAAUGGGCGAAAGCCUGAUCCAGCAAUGCCGCGGGAGUGAUGAAGGCCUUAGGGUUGUAAAGCUCUUUUACCCGGGAUGAUAAGGACAGGACCGGGAGAAUAAGCUCCGGCGAACUCCGU